CCUACGGGCGGCAGCAGUGAGGAAUAUUGGUCAAUGGGCGCGAGCCUGAACCAGCCAAGUAGCGUGAAGGAUGACGGCCCUACGGGUUGUAAACUUCUUUUAUAAAGGAAUAAAGUGAGGCACGUGUGCCUUUUUGUAUGUACUUUAUGAAUAAGGAUCGGCUAACUCCGUGCCAGCAGCCGCGGUAAUACGGAGGAUCCGAGCGUUAUCCGGAUUUAUUGGGUUUAAAGGGAGCGUAGAGGGGUUGUUAAGUCAGUUGUGAAAGUUUGCGGCUCACCCGUAAAAUUGCCAUUGAUACGGGCAGCCUUGCGUACAGUUGCGGUCGGCGGCCUUCGUGGUGUAGCGG
rnacentral:rRNA from 1 species